rnacentral:RNase_P_RNA from 1 species
CGAGUCGGUCGGGUGGCCGCGGCCAGUGGCGCACAAGCGAUACUGGUCGAGGAAGGUCGGGGCUCCAUAGGGCAGGGUGCUGGCUAACGGCCAGUCGGGGUGACCCGCAGGAAAGCGCAACAGAGAGCAGACCGCCGAUGGCCCGGGCAACCGGGAUCAGGCAAGGGUGAAACGGUGCGGUAAGAGCGCACCAGCGACCGGGGCAAUCCGGUCGGCUCGGCAAGCCCCACCCGGAGCAAGGCCAAGCGUGGGACGGGCGGCCCGUCCGAUGUCCCCAGGUAGGCCGCGUAGAUGGAUGGUCACCGUCCGGGCUCGUCCCGGAUACAGAACCCCGCCUAUAGGCCGACUCGCCGU